UGAGUGCGAGCUGCUACGGCAGCGAAGUUGGUGACGUCAAGCUUCCAAGAAAAGCCCUAUACCCGUUAAGGCAUCAUGGCCUGUACCCGAAACCGACACAGGUGGGGUGGUAGAGAAUACCGAGGGGCGCGAGGUAACUCUCUCUAAGGAACUCGGCAAAAUGGCCCCGUAACUUCGGGAGAAGGGGUGCCACCGCAAGGUGGUCGCAGUGAAGAGGCCCAGGCGACUGUUUACCAAAAACACAGGUCUCCGCUAAGUCGCAAGACGAUGUAUGGGGGCUGACGCCUGCCCAAUGCCGGGAGGUUAAGGAAGCUGGUCAGCGCAAGCGAAGCUGGCGACUGAAGCCCCGGUGAACGGCGGCCGUAACGAUAACGGUCCUAAGGUAGCGAAUUUCCUUGUCGGGUAAGUUCCGACCCGCACGAAAGGCGUAACGAUCUGGGCGCUGUCUCGGAGAGAGGCUCGGCGAAAUAGAAUUGUCUGUGAAGAUGCGGACUACGUGCACCCGGACAGAAAGACCCUAUGAAGCUUUACUGUAGCUUGGUAUUGUGCCCGGGCUCUGAAUGCGCAGGAUAGGUGGGAGGCUUUGAUCAUCGGCUUGCGGGUCGAUGUGAGCCGGCGGUGAGAUACCACUCUUUCAGAGCUAGGGUUCUAACAGUCACCCGUUAUCCGGGGACUGGACAGUAUCAGGUGGGCAGUUUGACUGGGGCGGUCGCCUCCUAAAAGGUAACGGAGGCGCGCAAAGGUCUGCUCAGGCUGGUUGGAAAUCAGCCGACGAGUGUAAAAGCAGAAGCAGGCUUGACUGUGAGACCUACAAGUCGAACAGGGAGGAAACUCGGCUUUAGUGAUCCGACGGUUCUGCGUGGAAGGGCCGUCGCUCAACGGAUAAAAGUUACUCUAGGAUAACAGGCUGAUCUCCCCCAAGAGUUCACAUCGACGGGGAGGUUUGGCACCUCGACGUCGGCUCAUCGCAACCUGGGGCUGAAGUCGGUCCCAAGGGUUGGGCUGUUCGCCCAUUAAAGCGGUACGCGAGCUGGGUUCAGAACGUCGUGAGACAGUUCGGUCCAUAUCCGGUGCAUGCGCAGGAAUAUUGAGAGGAGUUCUCCCUAGUACGAGAGGACCGGGAGGAACGCACCUCUGGUGUACCAGUUAUCGUGCCAACGGUAAACGCUGGGUAGCCAUGUGCGGAGAGGAUAACCGCUGAAAGCAUCUAAGUGGGAAGCCCACCUCAAGAUGAGUAUUCCCAUGGCGUUAGCCAGUAAGGUCACGGGAAGAACACCCGUUGAUAGGCUCUAUGUGGAAGCGCAGUAAUGCGUGAAGCAGAGGAGUACUAAUAGACCGAGGGCUUGAC
rnacentral:rRNA from 1 species